rnacentral:sRNA from 1 species
GCUGGGCAUGGUGGUGCAUGCCUGUCAUCUCAGCUACCCAGGAGACUGAGGCAGGAGGAUUGCAAGUUCAAAGCCAGCCUCAGCCACUUAGCAAGAACUUGCCUUUU